rnacentral:rRNA from 1 species
AGCGAACGCUGGCGGCAGGCCUAACACAUGCAAGUCGAACGAACUCUUCGGAGUUAGUGGCGGACGGGUGAGUAACACGUGGGAAAGUGCCUUUUGGUUCGGAAUAACUCAGGGAAACUUGUGCUAAUACCGAAUGUGCCCUUCGGGGGAAAGAUUUAUCGCCAUUAGAGCGGCCCGCGUCUGAUUAGCUAGUUGGUGAGGUAACGGCUCACCAAGGCGACGAUCAGUAGCUGGUCUGAGAGGAUGACCAGCCACACUGGGACUGAGACACGGCCCAGACUCCUACGGGAGGCAGCAGUGGGGAAUCUUGCGCAAUGGGCGAAAGCCUGACGCAGCCAUGCCGCGUGAAUGAUGAAGGUCUUAGGAUUGUAAAAUUCUUUAACCGGGGACGAUAAUGACGGUACCCGGAGAAGAAGCCCCGGCUAACUUCGUG